AGGCACUCCUGGAAGGAACCCAGGAUGAUCUGAGGGAGCUGGACUUGGGCAAGGUCGAGAUCCCGGAGCCGACCGUGGUCGCGCUUGGUCAAAACCUGCGGGUGCGCCAGCUCCUGCGGCAGAAGCGCCUGGCGGCCUCUCUGGAUGCCUAGGGUCGGCAGCAUCGGUGCCGUCCGUGUCCUGUCCACCUCCGGCGGCACGAGGAGAUGAUCGUCCCUGGAGGAGCCCCCCGAUCCCCUUUGAGCCCGGGGCCGUUUCCCCUCAAUAAUCAA